rnacentral:rRNA from 1 species
UACGGAGGGUGCAAGCGUUGUCCGGAUUUAUUGGGUUUAAAGGGUGCGUAGGUGGCCUUGUAAGUCCGUGGUGAAAGCCUCUCGCUUGACGAGAGAACUGCCAUGGAUACUGCAAGGCUUGAGUCCAGACGAGGUUGGCGGAAUGGAUGGUGUAGCGGUGAAAUGCAUAGAUACCAUCCAGAACCCCGAUUGCGUAGGCAGCUGACUAGGCUGGUACUGACACUGAGGCACGAAAGCGUGGGGAGCGAACAGG